UGAGGAAUAUUGCGCAAUGGGGGAAACCCUGACGCAGCAACGCCGCGUGGGUGAAGAAGGCCCUCGGGUUGUAAAGCCCUGUCAGGUGGGAAGAACCCUCUGCAAGUAAAUAGCUUGCGGAGCUGACGGUACCACCGGAGGAAGCACCGGCUAACUCCGUGCCAGCAGCCGCGGUAAGACGGAGGGUGCGAGCGUUGUUCGGAAUCACUGGGCGUAAAGCGCGUGUAGGCGGCUCAGUAAGUCGGGUGUGAAAGCCCGGGGCUUAACCCCGGAAGUGCAUUCGAUACUGUUGAGCUUGAGUACGGGAGAGGGAAGUGGAAUUCCUGGUGUAGAGGUGAAAUUCGUAGAUAUCAGGAGGAACACCGGUGGCGAAGGCGGCUUCCUGGACCGAUACUGACGCUGAGACGCGAAAGCGUGGGGAGCAAACA
rnacentral:rRNA from 1 species